UACGAAGGGAGCUAGCGUUGUUCGGAAUCACUGGGCGUAAAGCGCACGUAGGCGGAUGUGUCAGUCAGGGGUGAAAUCCCGGAGCUCAACUUCGGAACUGCCUUUGAUACAGCACGUCUUGAGUCCGAUAGAGGUGGGUGGAACUGCGAGUGUAGAGGUGAAAUUCGUAGAUAUUCGCAAGAACACCAGUGGCGAAGGCGGCUCACUGGCCCGAUACUGACGCUGAGGUGCGAAAGCGUGGGGAGCGAACAGG
rnacentral:rRNA from 1 species